CACAAUAACAACGUCAACUGCUGUCUAGGUUUCUCUCUUUUCUUACUAUUGGAUGUUUAACUAGCAUAAACCUUCCUGUGCUUUCUGUUUUCUUGUUGGAUUUUUUUAAAUGCUUUGACUGAUUUUCCACCUGGAUUUUUGAUAAUUUUAUUCGGAAUUUCACUUUUGUGUGAAGUUUAAGGAUACUCACCAUAUGAUUACAACAACACGUUAUUUUAUGCAUUGGUUUCUUUUGCACUUUAUUUUAUUAAUUGUAUUUUUGUGAGCUCUCGGUUCAUUCAAUGGAGUAUCAGCUUGAUGAAUGUAUUAAAUAGAUACAGGAAAAUUGCUACGAAUCACUUGCUGUUCAAUUGGAUCAACGAUCUACCGCUAAAUCUAUUGGAUUGAUCAUGUGCCUACAGUCAAAAUUACCAUCAGUCAAAUGUUCAUGCAAUGUUCAGUUUAAUAAGAUGGCAAAGUUUGAUUUGA